rnacentral:rRNA from 1 species
UACGGAGGGUGCAAGCGUUAUCCGGAUUUACUGGGUUUAAAGGGUGCGUAGGUGGUUUAAUAAGUCAGUGGUGAAAUUUACCCGCUUAACGGGCAAGCUGCCAAUGAUACUGUUAAACUUGAAUAUGGUUGAAGUAGGCGGAAUAAAUCAUGUAGAGGUGAAAUUCUUAGAGAUGAUUUAGAACACCGAUUGCGAAGGCAGCUUACUAAGCCAUUAUUGACACUGAGGCACGAAAGCGUGGGGAGCGAACAGG